GACGAACGCUGGCGGCGUGCUUAACACAUGCAAGUCGAACGGAAAGGCGCUGCUUUUGCUGGGUGCUCGAGGGGCGAAGGGGUGAGUAACACGUGAGUAAGCUGCCCUUUACGGGGGGGUAACGUCAGGAAACGGGGGCUAAUACCGGAGAGGAGCUCCUGCAGCAGGAGGGGGGAUGGAAAGUGUCGGCGGUGGGGGGUGGACUCGCGGCUUAUCAGCUUGUUGGGGGGGUAGUUGCUUACCAAGGCUUUGACGGGUAGCCGGCCUGAGAGGGUGGCCGGCCACCUUGGGCCUGCGAUACGCCCCAGACUCCUACGGGAGGCAGCAGUGGGGACUCUUGCACAGUGAGCGGGAGCCUGAUGCAGCAACGCCGCGUGCGUGAUGACGGCCUUCGGGUUGUAAACCGCUUUCGCCUGUGACGAAGCGUGAGUGACGGUAAUGGGUAAAGAAGCACCGGCUAACUACGUG
rnacentral:rRNA from 1 species